UCAAAAAACCAUGAUAUCAGUACUACUACGUAGACAAAAUCGCGUAUAAACAAGAUCACUGUUCAGACAUAAAUAAAAUAAUUCCGUCAUAACUCUUAUCAAAGUCAUACACAUCAGUCGGCGGUGAGCGCACGCGGCGUUCAGUACCGGAAAAAUCGUGACUGGAAAAAUAAUGAGUUAAAUAAACUAUAUGAUGUAGUGUAUGUAAUCGAAUCGGACAAUGUCAAUCGUAAAAUCAUGUGGACAUACUCAAGCGUGGACAUCCCCGGACAUCGUGUGUCUAGGACUGAUCGUAUACGAAUCUACGUCUCCGAGUGUAUCGUCUGCUUCUGUAUUCUCUUCUUCAUUCUCUGCGUUGGACUGCUCUUGUAUCUCUUCUUCCAUCUUUAUAGUACAGUCUCCAGUUCUAGGAAAGUUGCCGAGACUUUAAUCGAAAGUUAAAGUACGACAAUACAUACAAAUAAUGAAUUGAGAAACUUUAUAUAGAAAUGUAAGUAAGAAAGCAUUGUACAUUACAUAACAAUUAGACAUUAGAAUCCAUUCCGGAUCUCCAAGGUAUCAAUAGUAUCAACGUUACUUAAAGGUGGCGAUAGGAACAUUUCCUUUAAGUAAGUUCCAGAAGAUUGUAUAAAUGGACUUCAGCCUUGCGAUUCUGUAACUCACUUUUCAAACUCACACAGCGGUU